AGAUUACUAGUUCCACAAGCCCUAAAAUCACCUAACUGGGAAUGUGACCCGCCUAUUGUUACAGGCCGGCGAAGAUAUCUAUUCUCUUCGCCGGCACCGCUCUGGAUUUCCAUGUCGGACGCCGCCCUCUUUCUCACCAUUUUGCUGUUGUCCUUGUCACUGCUGCCGCCGACGUUUGCACUUGUAUUGCCCCAGUUGUCACCGUUCGGAGGUAAAGCCUUUGCCAUAACGAUAUACAGAUAUAAAAGGAGAGAGAUAGAUAUUUGUCAAACGCUGUUGAUUUUUCUUCUUCAUUAUACUGAGAUCCAGUCUCGGCUUAAUAAAAGCAAACCAGUAGAAACGUUGCUAAGGAGAUGAUCCAAGCAUAAAACGGUGAAAGGAUUUAGACAGAGAGAAGCAUUGGGAUUCUGUGGUUAGUCUCGUCUCCACCUCCACUAUUUUCCACCAUUUUAAUUUCUCCUUUAUUUAAAACCCAACACAACACGACCUCCUAGGGCUUGCUUAGCUUACUAUACUAAUUGUUUAUAAACACUUGACUGCUUGCCUUUUGGAAUUAUAUGCAAUUUCAGUAUUGCCAAUGAGAAAGAGGCUGAAGAGGAUGGAAUUUAUUGACGACACAAAGUACUGAAGUUGUUGAAGAUUUAAUCGCAAAAUAUUUGUACUACUACAUGAGCUAUCUUUUUCUCUUUUACCCCUAUCCACCUUUUUUCCUAAACUCGUCAAUUAUUAUUGCGGCUCUAGAUCUAGCUAGAAUUUUUUGUGUAUUAUGGAACUGAGAUUGGAAUGCACGUCGACUCACAAACGAUCUCGCAUUUAUACAUAUUCAAUGGGAUUAGUUAUCCUUUUACAUCAGAUAAUUAAUUCUGUUAUU
rnacentral:lncRNA from 1 species